CCUGGCGGCAGUAGCGCGGUGGUCCCACCUGACCCCAUGCCGAACUCAGAAGUGAAACGCCGUAGCGCCGAUGGUAGUAUGGGGUCUCCCCAUGCGAGAGUAGGGAACUGCCAGGC
rnacentral:rRNA from 2 species